rnacentral:rRNA from 1 species
CCGCGUCUAGGUUAAUAUCUCUCGGGGUUACAGCCCUUGCUGAAUUAUUCACCCUUGUCUUUUGCGUACUUCUUGUUUCCUUGGUGGGUUCGCCCACCACUAGGACAAACAUAAACCUUUUGUAAUUGCAAUCAGCGUCAGUAACAAAUUAAUAAUUACAACUUUCAACAACGGAUCUCUUGGUUCUGGCAUCGAUGAAGAACGCAGCGAAAUGCGAUAAGUAGUGUGAAUUGCAGAAUUCAGUGAAUCAUCGAAUCUUUGAACGCACAUUGCGCCCUUUGGUAUUCCAAAGGGCAUGCCUGUUCGAGCGUCAUUUGUACCCUCAAGCUUUGCUUGGUGUUGGGCGUCUUGUCUCUAGCUUUGCUGGAGACUCGCCUUAAAGUAAUUGGCAGCCGGCCUACUGGUUUCGGAGCGCAGCACAAGUCGCACUCUCUAUCAGCAAAGGUCUAGCAUCCUUAAGCCUUUUUUUCANCUUUUGACCUCGGAUCAGGUA